UGAAAGUAAACAAUGUAUAAACAAUGCUGUAUUCAAGAAAAAAUGCAAAAUAUAUGAUAAAUACGUAAACACCAUUAAUAAUCGUGUCAAAACUACAUAUAACUUUGCAAGUUAAGAAAUAUGAAGCAAAUUAUACAGCUCCAUUAUACAGGCUACUUUUGGCUACAUAAAGAAGAUAUGUUGAAAAUAGUACAUACAGAUUCUGAACCAGCAGCACAAGUUUUGGAAACACCAUGACAACGCGCCAAAACUCGAACAUCAAAAAAAUAAUCUUUAGUAGAGAAAAAUAAAUAAAUUCACAAAAUAUU